UACAGAGGUCCCGAGCGUUGUUCGGAUUCACUGGGCGUAAAGGGUGCGCAGGUGGGUUUGCAAGUUCGAUGUGAAAGCCCCGGGCUUAACCCGGGAAUGGCAUUGGAUACUGCAGAUCUGGAGGAUCGGAGGGGGGACUGGAAUUCUUGGUGUAGCAGUGAAAUGCGUAGAUAUCAAGAGGAACACCAGUGGCGAAGGCGAGUCCCUGGACAAUACCUGACACUGAGGCACGAAAGCCGGGGGAGCAAACAGG
rnacentral:rRNA from 1 species